AAAGGCUUAAGUUACUUCAAACUAAAAGCCUUCAAAGCUUUAAACAUCAAACUAAAGAUAGCCUUUA
rnacentral:tRNA from 1 species